UUACUAAUUAAACAUUCGCUGAAAGUAAAUGAAUGAAUACACGUAAUCGAUAAAGGGUAAUGAAACGUCGCCAUGUUACAAGUCCUUUUCGAAGAUAGAGAAUAUAAUACACUUCGUGUAUCUUUUUGGUCAAAUCGAACAAUACGAACAAAUCAAACCUCGAUGGAAUGUUUUAAGAUGGUUUUGGAUGAAAAACAUUCUACUCCAACUACUGCGUAUUAUGAAGAUAAAGUGGAAGUACCGUACUGUACUGUACCUGGAAAAGUUGUAAUAAUAACAUAUAAAUUGUAGUUUAAACGAUUCUACCUAGUUUAGUAAGGAUAGUUUCGUUGUCAUCUACUAAGGUACUGUACAUAAAACAUCUCGAAGAUCUUCAAAUGUCUCUUUUGAAAUAGUCCCUCUUUUUACUUGAAUUAUCUUCAGUGAAAGAAGAAACAAACAAGGAAAAUCCUUAGAAUUUAAAAUUAUCGCAAUUACUGUUACGUUGCGUUAAAUUAACAUUUAUCCGUACAUUUAGCAGUAUUUACAAAGGACGGUGCUUUCUUUUCCGCUUUGUUCAUCGCCUAAACGUAUCCUAAGCCAGCUAAGGAAUAUUUUGCAGGAAGAAUGCGCUUGAGCAUCUCUCUGGUCGAGUCGAUGCCACGCCCUGUAAAUGCUGUACUUCCAGCUAAAGAUCAUCCUAUUCGUUAUGAAACUUUCGUAAUUUUCGUGUGUGCUAGUCGUGUAAAUGGUGCGGAGAAAUUGUAGAUGUAUUUUUUUAAUGCUAUUAUUUGGGAAACUAAAUGUCUACCUCGAAAGGGAUCAUGGAGCGAGAGAACGUCCAAAUCGCUUUUUGUUUGGAAGUAAAAUACCUUUUUCAUGUUUCAGCAAAACUUCAUCUAUUUUUAUGCCUGCUAAAAAGUUUCUACAAAUGUGAAGAAUGAAAAAAAUUUUAAAUCUAGUGAAACGAAACAAAUGCUGUGUAGACAAAACUGAAUCUGCAACAUCCAAUAUGCAAGAAGCGAAAAAAAUUACGGAACAUCAUCCGGAAGCAGAAAGCAACGACAAUAAUUCGAGAACAAAGAUGGAAAAAAAUACAAAAGAUGAUAAAAAUAACCGUAAAUCGAUGAAAAUAUUUAAAAAUACACGAGAAAGUUCAUCUAAAAAAAAUCAAGAUGAACCAAAAUUAGAAUACAAGGAGAUAAUAAAUCAAAUUAUAGAUGAAGACAUGCAUUCUUCGACAUCAUCCAUAACUAUAAUAGAUCCAGAGAGAUCGAAAGAGAAGUUAGUUGAUGGCGGAAUCGAGUCGGAAUCUGCCACAAUUCAAGAAAAGCAUCACAUACCUUUUCUUCCUCAUCGUCCACCCACCCCUAAAAGAAAUAAGCAACUACAAGUUAAGGCUGUUAAAGACAGAUCGACUUCGAUUACUGGAUUUUCCGUGGAAGACGAGCAUUUAUCUUCCAAAAAUCGAAUUUAUUCUCACGAAAUAACUCGUGAAGUUUAUAAAUGUAAAAGAAUUUAAUUUUAUUAAUUUUAAUAUCAUGAACGUACUCAAAAAUAGCGCGUAAUUUUUAUUUAUAAUUUCGUAUUGAUAACAAUUGAAUUUAUUUUAUUAAACUAAAAAUAAAUUGUCAUCGUCAAUCGUUCAAAUUUCAUGUAAAUUAAUGAAAAUUUUAUUUAAAAAAUAAGCGAAGGAAUAAAUUUAUUUACUGUUUACUUACAAAAAUGCCUUUUAGGCUAAAUAAUGCUUAAUAUAAUAAAAGAAAUUAUUUGACUGGUUGUAAUUAAAUACAAAAAAAGGCACAAAAUACUUCCACAUUUUAAAGAAUCCUAUACCGCAAAUGAAAAUAUAAACAAAAUAAAACAAUUAAUAA